CUGCAGAGCUUGGGGCAAAGUGUCAUCUUUCAGCACUGUGGGGAGAUGUAGCUAGUGGGCACCUAUCUAUUCUAUAUUACAAACAUUGUUUGAUAGGAAGUAGAAGUGAUUGGAUGGCAACCGAUCAACACCACCUUUGAAAUGGAAUCAGGAAAUCCUAAAGAAAUGCUGUCCUAUACCCAAAGGUCUCAGAGCGGGCUACAAUAAAACCAAUAUACAACAUAAUUAAAAAACAACAUCAUAAAAUAAAAAAUACAGUAAAAAAAUACAGUGCCUGAGAGGGGAAGAACUACUACAUCUCUAGUCAACGGCCAUGGUAAAGAGGGAGGAUCAAAACUAAAGGAAGAUCUCCUACUAUUACUGCUGGACGUGGUUCUCCUGUGCCUGCACCCCAUGUCUUGUGAAUGCUGGUGUUCUUUUUGGAAUACAGUACUACAGAGCACAAUAAUAGCUCUUGUGAGAGCAGCAACAACAACAAUCAUCUCCAGGGGAUGGUGCUCUGGCUCUUCAGCAGCUUCCAAGCAGUGGCUCAGCUGCUCUCCCAGGCUGCAGGGAUCCCGAAAUCAACACAUGCUCAGACAACCACCUAGGAAAACGUGUGUGCAGGAGGAGCAGAUGGUUUCUGAGCACGACAGAAAUUUUCAGUGCAAGAGGCAGUGAUUUUACUGCUGCUGUGCUAGAGUCAUCAACAACAGCCCAGGUUGUGAUGCUUAGCUCAAGAAUUAUCUACA